rnacentral:rRNA from 1 species
UACGAAGGGUGCAAGCGUUAUCCGGAUUCACUGGGUUUAAAGGGUGCGUAGGUGGGUUGAUAAGUCAGUGGUGAAAUCCCCGAGCUUAACCCGGAAACUGCCAUUGAUACUAUUUGUCUUGAAUACUUUGGAGGUAAGCGGAAUAUGUCAUGUAGCGGUGAAAUGCUUAGAUAUGACAUAGAACACCAAUUGCGCAGGCAGCUUACUACACAGUAAUUGACACUGAGGCACGAAAGCGUGGGGAUCAAACAGG